UGAUUCCUGGGGUGUUCGCCAGCUGUUAACGUCCUCGAGCCUAAUUACAAACCCAGGGAAUCAUCCGUGAGUACCCGUGUGCAUGUCCGCGCGACGGAAAGCCUUAGGUACUUCGAUGAUUACCCACCUUGAACCUAAUUGGUUCAAGGGCAACGGCAGCAGCGGCACUCUGGGGCUUUA
rnacentral:other from 2 species